rnacentral:rRNA from 1 species
UACAGAGGGUGCAAGCGUUGUUCGGAAUUAUUGGGCGUAAAGCGCGUGUAGGCGGCUUUGCAAGUCGGGUGUGAAAGCCCUCGGCUCAACCGAGGAAGUGCGCCCGAAACUGCAGAGCUUGAGUACCGGAGAGGAUGGCGGAAUUCCCCAAGUAGAGGUGAAAUUCGUAGAUAUGGGGAGGAACACCGGUGGCGAAGGCGGCCAUCUGGACGGAUACUGACGCUGAGACCCGAAAGCCAGGGUAGCGAACCGG